GACGAACGCUGGCGGCGUGCCUAAUACAUGCAAGUAGAACGCACAGUUUAUACCGUAGCUUGCUACACCAUAGACUGUGAGUUGCGAACGGGUGAGUAACGCGUAGGUAACCUGCCUGGUAGCGGGGGAUAACUAUUGGAAACGAUAGCUAAUACCGCAUAAUAUUAAUUAUUGCAUGAUAAUUAAUUGAAAGGUGCAAUUGCACCACUACCAGAUGGACCUGCGUUGUAUUAGCUAGUAGGUGAGGUAACGGCUCACCUAGGCGAGGAUACAUAGCCGACCGGAGAGGGUGGUCGGCCACACUGGGACUGAGACACGGCCCAGACGCCCACGGGAGGCAGCAGUAGUGAAUCUUCGGCAAGGGACGAAAGUCUGAGCGAGCAACGCCGCGGGAGUGAAGAAGGUUGUCGGAUCGUAAAGCUCUGUUGUAAGAGAAGAACGGGUGUGAGAGUGGAAAGUUCACACUGUGACGGUAACUGACCAGAAAGGGACGGCUAACUACGUG
rnacentral:rRNA from 1 species